rnacentral:tRNA from 1 species
GGAUCCUUAGCUCAGUUGGCUAGAGCAUCUCAUUGACGUUGAGAAGGCCGGAGGUUCGAGUCCCCCAGGAUCCACCA